rnacentral:misc_RNA from 1 species
UUGAUUUUAAAGGAUGUGCUGGCAUUUAUGCAUGUGCACUCUUAAACCAAUAUCCACCCUGUGCACACUUGUAGGCAUUCUUUUGCCUAUGUUUCUUCACAAACAACUAUUGAUGUAUUUGAAUGCUAUUUGAUAAAUUGUAAUA